GACGGGGGAUGCGAGCGUUAUCCGGAAUGAUUGGGCGUAAAGGGUCCGCAGGUGGCCCGGUCAGUCCGCUGUCAAAGCCUGGGGCUCAACCCUGGAAAGGCGGCGGAGACCACCGGGCUUGAGUCCGGUAGGGGCAGAGGGAAUUCCCGGUGGAGCGGUGAAAUGCGUAGAGAUCGGGAGGAACACCAGUGGCGAAGGCGACUUUCUGGUCUGUUCCUGACGCUGAGGAGCGAAAGCCAGGGGAGCGAACGGG
rnacentral:rRNA from 1 species